rnacentral:tRNA from 1 species
UAAAUUGAGGCCAAAUGUCCAGGUGCUUAGCUGUUAACUAAGAGAUAGUGGGGUAAGAACCCACCAAUUUAG